CUCGUGUCACAGAAGUUUACCCAGGUGCAGAUGGAAGAAUCCGAAAUGUAAAGGUCCGUACAGCCACGGGUGAAUAUUCACGACCUAUCACGAAAAUUGCUGUCAUCCAUCCAGUUGAGGGGGACGAAUAAGAGAUAACAAACACGGCGCUGGCGAGACCGAGGUAGAGUUGUAACCGUGGCGCGGGAGGGUGAAACGUUGCGUUACAGUUUAGUAGGACUGGAAACUAAAUCGGAUUUUGAACGAUGUGAAUUAAGCGGAAAACACCACGAGUUGUUGAUGUGUUUAAAAUGUAAUCAGGACAAAUAUAAGGACAAAAUACGUUGGAAAUAUUACAUUAUUUAUAGUUUAAGGUGACGGUGAAUGGUUGCGGGACAAUUGGGUUAUUAUUAUUCAGGAUUGUGCAACUUGUAAGUUUAUAUUGGAAUGGAGUAUCGCUUUAUAUACACACUGGUAUUUGUUUAUAUUGAUAACUAUAUUAUUAUUACGGAAUAUAUGUAAUUGAUAUCUCUUUAAU